UUCCAGACACAAGAAGUGUGUCUUCACACUGCAUCAGCAGGAGUUCCACCAAGCACGGGCUCAAGGCUGUCAAGGCUAUUUCAACUGCACAGACAGCACCAAGCUGCCACACAGACGGCACCAGGCUGCCACACACACGGAUCUAGGAGUUUCAGUCUUGAGAUUUGUAACUGCGAUACUACGAAUUGCUUUUUUAAAAUUCUAGACAGGGCUCAAUGGCUCACACCUGUAAUCCUAGCACUUUGAGGGGCUGAGGCGGGAGGAUCACUUGAGCCCAAAGUGGCAUGAGCCAUGGUGCCCAGCCAGCUAUCGUCAUUUUCAUUAGACACCUGGCAGAAGGCAA
rnacentral:lncRNA from 10 species